AUAUCACCGGUUACCGUAUGAUCACCGAAGUUAAGCAACGUCGAGCCUGGUCAGUAGCUAGAUGAGUGACCGCUUGGGAAUACCAGUUGCUGUAAG